rnacentral:rRNA from 1 species
AGCGAACGCUGGCGGCAGGCUUAACACAUGCAAGUCGAACGAAGCCUUCGGGCUUAGUGGCGGACGGGUGAGUAACACGUGGGAACGUACCUUUUGGUUCGGAACAACACAGGGAAACUUGUGCUAAUACCGAAUGAGCCCUUAGGGGGAAAGAUUUAUCGCCAUUAGAGCGGCCCGCGUUGGAUUAGCUAGUUGGUGGGGUAAAGGCCCACCAAGGCUACGAUCCAUAGCUGGUCUGAGAGGAUGAUCAGCCACACUGGGACUGAGACACGGCCCAGACUCCUACGGGAGGCAGCAGUGUGGAAUCUUGCGCAAUGGGCGAAAGCCUGACGCAGCCAUGCCGCGUGAAUGAUGAAGGUCUUAGGAUUGUAAAAUUCUUUUACCAGGGACGAUAAUGACGGUACCUGGAGAAAAAGCUCCGGCUAACUUCGUGCCAGCCGCCGCGGUAA